rnacentral:tRNA from 1 species
GGUUCUUCAGAAGCUUGCUUCUAUCGAACCGUUUUAGAAACAUCAGUGGCCAACGAUCGUCAGGAUUGUUGAGCUGCAUUGGCGGGAUUUCGCCGUCUUCGUUUCUCUUUCUUCGCGGACGAACACGCGCUGGGGCUGCAAGCUUGCAGAAUCCCUGGUCCUUGACUGGAUAUGCGUUAGGGGCUUGUAGCUCAGUUGGUUAGAGCGCGCGCUUGAUAAGCGUGAGGUCGGAAGUUCAAGUCUUCCCAGGCCCACCACACUCAUCGAGUGAGCAUUCGUCUUCUGGUUACGGGGCCAUAGCUCAGCUGGGAGAGCGCGUGCUUUGCAAGCAUGAGGUCGUCGGUUCGAUCCCGUCUGGCUCCACCAGAUGGUUUGAUCAUCGACUGAUCGUGCAUCUAAAUCGUCCGCGAAACAUCACUUCGCACUUGCUAGUCCGGAUGGACAGUAAGCUGCGUGAUUUCUGACAUCGUAAAGAGGAGAUCGAUCCGAGUUGGAUCGGGCAACAAGCAAUUGUUGCGCGAUACUUCAUUAUCUCCGGAUCAUUUCGGCGCUCGUGCGCCUUUCAAUGUAGCUCACAAGGCUGCGUUUGAAAGGAAUGCGAGUUGUAAAUGAUCCUUUUAGCGAAGCUUGACCGCCUCGCUAUCGGAACGAUCUUACGAAGCAAGCUGGUCUUUCUAAUCAUUGUCCGGCUGCAGAUAGCGUUCAUCGAGGGCGCGUGCCGCAAGGUAAUUCUGCAGACAACAUUCUGCCGAGUGUGUGGACAUUGAUAAUGAGAGCAAUCAG